CUGUGAGUAAUUCUAAUUUGUUUUGGGUGAAAUAUGGACUUGAAGUCAAUUUACGUUCUAAAUUUUGACAAUUCUGAAAGUUAAAUAAAUAACAUAGCAUUGAAUGCGUGAGCGCAAAUUGUGAUAUCAUUUACAUAUAUAAAAUGGCUGAGAAUAAAUCGUGAAUGAAAUCUGAA
rnacentral:sRNA from 1 species